UCCACAAUGCACAAUAGACAAUGUACAUAUAUGCGCAGAAGAAUAGAAUAAGAUUCAAUAGGCAAUGAGAAAAGGAAGAAGGAAAUCAUACAUUCGAGUAUAUAUCGUUAAAGAUAAUAUGAGCAAAGGCGCAGGCUACUACUAAUUAUUAUGAGCUCUUUUACGGUGAUUGGCGAGUUACAUAAUUUCAUGUAACUCCCCCUUUGAUUAUUUCCCACUGUUGAUUUUAACAUGUUAAUUAAAAAAAUUAUGUUUAAUCAAGAAGGGCAUUAUGGUCCUAUUUUUUAGUAACUUUGUCAAUUUGCUCCGUAAAUCCCUCGCAUCUCGUCCAACCCAUCUCGCGAGAGGAAGGCGCCGCCGCGAGGUCCUGGAGGCGAACCCCCUGGGCUUGGUCGUAGUGGCCGCUCCCCCACGGCCCCGCGGACGCCGCCGCGAGGUCCUGAGGACGGCGCUGGCGCGAGGUGCUGGAGGCGAUCCCCCGGCUGCGCUUGGUCGUAGUGGCGGCUCAACGGAGCAAGGUGACGACGGUGUUCUCUGAAUUCUGAUCUCUCUCCACAUUGCUCUCAUAUCAUCUCCAUGGAUGAAAAAGGGUGUAUAGUGCCAUCGUUGUUCAUCCUCUCCGUUUGUCACAAGCGUUGUCUGAAUCAACUUAGCUGACAAAAUGGCUACCUGUCUCGUUUUUCAUCAGCCUUCACCUCUGUGCAGUUUUCUUGGCAUGAAAAGUCAAACAAAUGUAUGUGUUGAUGGAAUCUGGAGAUCCAGAAAAGGAAGCUUAUAUUACCAAUUUUUGUUAA